GAUGAACGCUGGCGGCGUGCCUAAUACAUGCAAGUCGAGCGAAGCGGGGACGGGUGAGUAACACGUCGAUAACCUCCUAUAAGACUGGGAUAACUUCGGGAAACCGGUGCUAAACCGGCUACUUAUAGAUGGAUCGGGACGGGAUUAGCUAGUUGGUAAGGUAACGGCUUACCAAGGCAACGAUGCAUAGCCGACCUGAGAGGGUGAUCGGCCACACUGGAACUGAGACACGGUCCAGACUCCUACGGGAGGCAGCAGUAGGGAAUAUUCCGCAAUGGGCGAAAGCCUGAUGGAGCAAUGCCGCGUGAGUGAAGAAGGUCUUCGGGUCGUAAAGCUCUGUUAUUAGGGAGGCGGUACCCAAAGAGAAAGCAACGGCUAACUACGUGCCAGCAGCCGCGGUAAUAC
rnacentral:rRNA from 1 species